AAAUCGUUCAUUUUCAAACGUCAACAGCUCAAAAACACCCACUUUAAGCUCUUGGUUUGUUCUAAUGGGUGGAUUGUGUGCAAUCGCUGUAAUAUUUUAUUUUUAAAAGGUCUUGAACAAGAAUAAAUUCGUUUCUUGCGAGCUCGUUGUGUCACUGCACGAGAAGCCGCGCCGUCUCGCGCUGUCAAAAGAGCUGACGCAAAUCGUUCAUUUUCCACACUUCAACAGCCCCAAAAUACCCGCUUUUAGCUCUUGGGGUGUUCUAAUGGGUGGAUUGUGUGCAAUCGCUGUAAUAUUUUAUUUUUAUAAGGUCUUAAACAAGAAUAAAUUCGUUUCUUGUGAGCUCGUAGUGCGAGUGCAGGAGAAGCCGCGCGGGCUCGCG
ensembl:lncRNA